UAGUAAUAUCAAAAUCAAAAAUUACGCUGAAGACGGGUUCACAAAAAAAAGAAUCUCCAAUGGUCAACAAUAAUACAUCGCUCAAGGUGAAUAAUUAUCUAUUUCAACAUAACAACUAAUUUCAACAGUAAAAACAAAUAACAAAACAUUGUCAAAUUUGAAACAGAAGUGUACGAGUUGUCCUACGCUUCAGACUUGACAUUCACUAAACAUGCAUGCUGAAAUUGACAUGGUUGAUUUUGUAACACAAUCAUACACAUUCAAGUUUUGAAAUCGACAAUUGUCAUCGUCAUUGGAAUGCAACUGGAAUACACAUUCUAGGGUCACACAGGUUCAAACAAUACUCAGUCCGGCAGUGGGCGGAGCUUUAAAGCGAUAUCUGUAUUAUAGUAUACAGAUACAGCAUAGCGAUAUCUGUAGGGCUGUAUCUGUAUAGUAGGACACCCAAUUGCAGGAUAAAUGUAAAUA
rnacentral:lncRNA from 1 species